GGCCACAGCCAUAUCACCCUGCAGCCCAAGACUGGUUACUCACUGAAGCUAAGCAGGGCUGAGCCUGGUCAGUACCUGGAUGGGAGACCACUAGGGAACACUAGGUUGCUGUUGGAA
rnacentral:rRNA from 1 species